rnacentral:rRNA from 1 species
CCUACGUGAGGCUGCAGUGAGGAAUAUUGGUCAAUGGGCGGAAGCCUGAACCAGCCAAGUAGCGUGCGGGAUGAAGGCCCUACGGGUCGUAAACCGCUUUUGCACGGGGAUAACACCCUCCACUUGUGGAGGUCUGCAGGUACCGUGCGAAUAAGGGCCGGCUAAUUCCGUGCCAGUAGCCGCGGUAAUACGGAAGGCCCGAGCGUUACCCGGAUUCAUUGGGCUUAAAGGGAGCGUAGGCGGGCGUUCAAGUCAUCUGUAAAAUCGCGCGGCUCAACCGCGCCCCGCAGUUGAAACUGGACGACUUGAGUGCAGAACAGGCAGGUGGAAUUCGUGGUGUAGCGGUGAAAUGCAUAGAUAUCACGAGGAACCCCGAUGGCGAAGGCAGCCUGCCGGGGUGCGACUGACGCUGAGGCUCGAAGGUGCGGGUAUCAAACAGGAUUAGAUACCCCAGUAGUC